AUCUAGGGACAAGCUCCACCGGCCCAGCCAGUCGGCGAGAGGCAGACGUACAGCAGACGCAGCAUCAAACCAUCAACAUCAAUGUGUGUGGUCGUGGCAUCUGAGCAGCUGUAAUCGGGACAAGUGUCACCGCCAUCUCACUUUACCAUGGACAAAACGCCUUAUGUUCUCUUGGAGCGAAUCAAUGCCGAUUUACAGCGGGCGUUCGAGCAUGGGCUUCAGCAGAUUCCCAUCGCCAAAAGGAGGCCAAUAGUCCUUGUCGAAAAGCUGCCUGUCGCUGUUACAAAUAAACUGCGACAAAGUGGGGAUAACCCAAGUGGGCAGCCAGCAAGAAAAAUUCCCAAAAGAAAGCUGUCACCAGGUCCUUCAAGGCGACCCUGCCCCGACACACCGAGCAAACGUGUCUGUUCCAGCACUAAAGGCUCUCAGGCCCUGUCCACAACCUCAUCUGUGGGUAUUUCCGAGAGCAAUGGAAGACAGAAAGAGGGAUCGGUC
rnacentral:lncRNA from 1 species